rnacentral:rRNA from 1 species
UCAAGUUACUAAGGGUGUAUGGGGGAUGUCUAGGCGUCGAGAGGCGAUGAAGGACGUGGCAGGCUGCGAUAAGCCCGGGGCAGGUGCCUAGCAACCGUUAAUCCCGGGAUUUCCGAAUGGGGCAACCCAGCAAGGCGGGGCAACCCGACCUUGUUAUCACUGGCUGAAUGUAUAGGUCAGUGAAGUUAACGCAGGGAACUGAAACAUCUUAGUACCUGCAGGAAAGGAAAUCAACAGAGACUCCGUAAGUAGCGGCGAGCGAAAGCGGAAUAGCCCAAACCAGAGAGCUUGCUCUCUGGGGUUGAGGGCGCCGGUUAGCAGUUAUAAAAGUCUUCGCUAGCAGAAUGGUCUGGAAAGUCCAACCAUAGAAGGUGAAAGUCCUGUAAGCGAAAGUGAAGGCACUGCGUUAUGCCGGCGUACCAGAGUAGCACGGGACUCGUGAAACCCCGUGUGAAGCUGGGGGGACCACCCUCCAAGGCUAAGUACUACUCGACGACCGAUAGUGGACAGUAGGGCGACUGAACGAUGAAAAGCACCCCUAUAAGGGGAGUUAAAAGUACCUGAAACCAUACACCUACAAAGCUGUGGAAGCCCUAUGGUACCGAUUCGUCGGUAUAAUGGGUGACCGCGUGCCUUUCGCAUAAUGAGCCAGCGAGUUGUCGUAUGUGGCAAGGUUAAGCACUUUAAGUGCGGAGCCGUAGGGAAACCGAGUCUUAAUAGGGCGAUUAGUCGCAUGUGGCAGACGCGAAACCAAGCGAUCAUCCCAUGGCCAGGUUGAAGGGGAUGUAAAAAUCCCUGGAGGACCAAACGCACCAACGUUGAAAAGUUGGGCGAUGAGCUGUGGGAAGGAGUAAAAGUCUAAUCAAGCUUGGAGAUAUCUCGUUCUCUUCGAAAUAGCUUUAGGGCUAGCCUCGAGUUACUACUCUGCGGGGGUAGAGCUACUGGAUGGGGAUAGGGGGCCACCAGCCUACCUACCCCAACCAAACUCCGAAUACCGCAGAGAUUAUCUCGGGAGUCAGACUGUGGGGGAUAACCUCCAUGGUCAAGAGGGAAACAACCCAGACCGCCGGUUAAGGUCCCGAAGUUCUUGCUAAGUUCUUAAGGAGGUCGAGUUGCAGUGACAGCCAGGAUGUUGGCUUAGAAGCAGCCACCAUUUAAAAAGUGCGUAAUAGCUUACUGGUCGAGCAACUUGGCGCCGAAAAUGACCGGGAAUCAAGCAGAACACCGAAGCCGCGGAUUUAACUGAACUUCGGUUCAGUUAAGUGGUAGAAGAGCGUUGUUGUCAGCGUCGAAGCCGUACGGUAACGAGCGGUGGAGCGGCAACAAGUGAUAAUGCUGGCAUGAGUAACGAUAAAACAGGUGAGAAUCCUGUUCGCCGAAAACCUAAGGUUUCCUGGGGAAGGUAAAUCCGCCCAGGGUUAGCCGGCCCUUAGUCGAGGCCGAAAGGCGUAGACGAUGGACAGCAGGUUAAUAUUCCUGCGCCGCGUGCCAAAGGUUUGUACUGAAGGGGAUGACGCAGCAACAAAGGCUGGAAGCUGACUAGUCGUGGCUAUUGUGCCUGAGGCGCCGUUAGUAGGAAAAUCCGCUGACGCAAAGGCGCCGAAGGACCGCGAGGGCCGAUUUGAUGCCCGAGCAGCCGGCGUUGUUGCCGAGAAAAGUCCUCGUCAGGACGAUGGUGCGUGUCCGUACUAAAACCGACACAGGUAGGUGGGGUGAGAAUCCCAAGGCGCUCGAGAUAACCGUCCUUAAGGAACUCGGCAAAUUGACCCCGUACGUUCGCAAUAAGGGGUCCCUCCAGACUCAGGUUCGCCUGGGUGCUGAGGGCGCAGUGACAUGGCUCUGGCGACUGUUUAUCAAAAACACAGUUCUCUGCUAACACGAAAAGUGGAUGUAUAGAGAAUGACGCCUGCUCGAUGCCGGAAGGUUAAGUGGCGCGGUUAUCCCUUCGGGGAGACGCUGCAAAAUGAAGCCCCGGUAAACGGCGGCCGUAACUAUGACGGUCCUAAGGUAGCGAAGUUCCUUGUCGGGUAAGUUCCGACGUGCAUGAACGGCGUAACGACUGGAGCACUGUCUCAAGGACGGACUCGGUGAAAUUGUAAUUGUGGUGAAGAUACCACAUACCCGCGGCAAGACGGAAAGACCCCGUGAACCUUUACUGUAACCUGGUAUUGAUGCCUGGCAUAUCAUGCGCAGGAUAGGUGGGAGGCUUUGAAGUGCUGGUUUCGGCCGGCAUGGAGCCAACCUUGAAAUACCACCCUUGAUAUGUCAGACACCUAACGGUGUGCCGUGAUCCGGUCACCGGACAGUGCUAGGCGGGCAGUUUGACUGGGGCGGUCUCCUCCCAAAAAGUAACGGAGGAGUUCAAAGGUACACUCAGCGUGGUUGGCAAUCACGCAUAGAGAGCAAAGUUAGAAGUGUGCUUGACUGCGAGACUUAUAGGUCGAGCAGAUGCGAAAGCAGGACUUAGUGAUCCGGCGAUCCCGUGUGGAAGGGUCGUCGCUCAACAGAUAAAAGGUACUCCGGGGAUAACAGGCUUAUCUCCCCCGAGCGUUCAUAGCGGCGGGGAGGUUUGGCACCUCGAUGUCGGCUCAUCACAUCCUGGGGCUGUAGGCGGUCCCAAGGGUUCGGCUGUUCGCCGAUUAAAGUGGUACGCGAGCUGGGUUCAGACCGACGCGAGUCAGGUCGGUCCCUAUCUGCCGUGGGCGCAGGAAUUUUGAGAGGAUGUUUCCCUAGUACGAGAGGAUUGGGAAGCACCGACCGCUGGUGUCCCGGUUGUUCCGCUAGGAGCAGCGCCGGGUAGCUAUGUCGGGAAAGGAUAACCGCUGAAGGCAUCUAAGCGGGAAGCCAACCUCAAGAUUAGAAUUCCAUUCCCUUCGGGGAUGAAGGACCCUGGAAGACUACCAGGUUGAUAGGCUGGGUGUGUAAGCACAGAAAUGUGUUAAGCUAACCAGUACUAACGUCCAAACGCUUGACCAU